rnacentral:rRNA from 1 species
GACGAACGCUGGCGGCGUGCUUAACACAUGCAAGUCGAACGGGCCUGCCUGGCUUUGGUUGGGUGGGUGAGUGGCGAACGGGUGAGUAACACGUGAGUAACCUGCCCUCUUCUCUUGGAUAACUGCUUGAAAGGGCGGCUAAUACGGGAUGUUCUGGCUGCCUCGCAUGGGGUGGUUUGGAAAGAUUCGGCCUGGUUUUGGUUGUUUUGGUGGGGGAUGGGCUCGCGGCUUAUCAGCUUGUUGGUGGGGUGAUGGCCUACCAAGGCGGUGACGGGUAGCCGGCCUGAGAGGGUGGACGGUCACACUGGGACUGAGACACGGCCCAGACUCCUCGGGAGGCAGCAGUGGGGGAUUUUGCACAAUGGGCGCAAGCCUGAUGCAGCGACGCCGCGUGAGGGAUGGAGGCCUUCGGGUUGUGAACCUCUGUCGCCGGUGAUGUAGGCUCUGCUUUGUGGGU